AUGAACUGUUAAAAUGAAAAUCUCCAAACUGUAUCUGUUGGUGUUAAUUUCUGAGACUUCUUCUCUACAGAUUUGGAUUACAAAACAUAAGCAUCGUUUGUCUGACUUUUUCCUUUAUCCAGAGGAUAUACAGAGGCUGAAAAGCAUGUAUACUUCCUGACUCAGAGCACACCAGAGAACAGGAAUCAGGAAAUCAACAACAAGGCCUCCAAUCUCCUAGAGGAACCGUCACACGCUGUGGAAGUAAAACCUGGGACAUUUUUCCACUUGGGGAGCUCUAAGUCGCCACCCAAAUCGUGUUUACUUUGUUAGUUUUGCAUGUGUGUGUGGUGUGUGUAUGAGGGAGAGAUCAUAAAAGCUACUCUUAGCCAUUAUAGAACAAAAAAAUACUGAGAAAACAAAAAUCAAUAAAAACAAGUUAAUGUCCCGAGGCA
rnacentral:lncRNA from 1 species